UUUUUUAAAAAUAAAAAUUAAAUUUUUUUUAAUUUGUGCAAAAACAAUUAUUUAUAUUAAAGACAAGAAGACCCUAUGAAUUUAUGAUUAAAUAAACUAAAAAUUUUUAGUUUAUUUAAUCUUGAUUGGGGCAAUCAAAAAAUAUUAAUAACUUUUUUAAAUUUAAAUGAUCUAUUAUUAAUAAUCUAAUGGAAUAAAUACUCUAGGGAUAACAGCGUAAUAAUUUUUGAUAGAUCUUAUAGACAAAAUAGUUUGCGACCUCGAUGUUGGAUUAGGAUUCUUUUUUAAUGAAGAUGUUAAAACAAGAAGUUUGUUCAACUUUUAAAUUCCUACUUGAUCUGAGUUCAGACCGG
rnacentral:rRNA from 1 species